CGCAGCAAGAAGCGCUAGCUUAUUAUGCACGCUUGAAUCAAGCUAAAGGCUAGCUAACCUCUCUUGUUGCUGUUAGUGAUUUAACAAAAUCAAAUUAUCAUUUUUCUCUUUCAGUUUUCUUAAUUUUUAAGAAUAUCAUGUGUACUCCAAUACGUCCUUCUCGUGGUUGAGCACUGAUGUGGCUGCAACCUGCAACUAAAGAUCAAUCUAAGGGCUCGAGUUCGUCCUUAGGCGGCACUGUUUGGAAUAAUUAUGGAUGGUCUAGUAAUUUGGGUGAUUGUACUUCUUGUAACUGUUUGUUUGAUUUUUUGUAGUGAACCAAGAUUCAGAAACACAGCGCGAAACCAUAGAGGUGAAACCCAGCAGGAUCGGAGACAAAACCUUUUCAAGCAGCAAGUGACAGAUAGCAAGAUCGGCAACAAUAACAGAUUCCAGCAAAUGUUCAUAUUUGGAUUCCAUAUAUAUGAACGAGCAUCUCCUGAUUAUUAUUAUUUUCUCAUGAUGGAUUUUCUGCUGGAAUUACACAGCAUCCACCACCCACUAACAAUUUUACAUAAAAACAUUUGAAAGUUUUAAGUCCAAGACACAAACUUGUGAGCUUAUGAGAAACUUCACUUAUGAACUCAGUUUAAAUACUAUUUUUUAAUCUCUCUGGGUGACACAGCUCGACUGACUGGCGACCAAAAUAGAUCCUGCAAGCAGAAAGACCUAUCGAAGAUCGUGCUGAGCAGUAUGUCUUCGCUCAGUGUUGUGCCAUGCGUCGACAUCUUUUUAUGUGGAUUUUAUAUUUAUGUCGUAUUGUAUUUUGGACUUCCGCUUCAAAAACUCAUGUUUCCCAUCAUGUAUUUCCUUUUGUUUAUGUUUCGGAAUGUGCUGUAUAAGUGGAAAACCUGAUAAUACAAGUUUCCCUAAAUCUUUUCUUUUUGUAAAACGAUAGAUGGUGUAUUUUUUUUUAGAUGUUGGAAAUGGAAAUACUAUGAUGUUACUCAGGAAAAGUAAGUCUUUUAACAGGUUUCAUAGUUUUUCUACAUGGCACGUCUCGGGCAUCCGAGUCUUGUGGGAGCGCCCGAAUCUUACGGGAUGAAGAAAUUCGGGAUGGGUCGUGUCACUUUUUUAAUCUCUCUAGGUGACAAGCAACACGAUCGGCAACCAUAACAGUUUCCU